CAGCAGCCACGGGAAUACGAAGGGUGCAAGCGUUACUCGGAAUUACUGGGCGUAAAGCGUGCGUAGGUGGUGGUUUAAGUCCGUUGUGAAAGCCCUGGGCUCAACCUGGGAAUUGCAGUGGAUACUGGGUCACUAGAGUGUGGUAGAGGAUAGUGGAAUUUCCGGUGUAGCAGUGAAAUGCGUAGAGAUCGGAAGGAACAUCUGUGGCGAAGGCGACUAUCUGGGCCAACACUGACACUGAGGCACGAAAGCGUGGGGAGCAAACAGGAUUGGAUACCCGUGUAGUCCCUGUCUCUUAUAC
rnacentral:rRNA from 1 species